CUGGCGGCAGGCCUAACACAUGCAAGUCGAGCGGUAGCACAGAGAGCUUGCUCUCGGGUGACGAGCGGCGGACGGGUGAGUAAUGUCUGGGAAACUGCCUGAUGGAGGGGGAUAACUACUGGAAACGGUAGCUAAUACCGCAUAACGUCGCAAGACCAAAGUGGGGGACCUUCGGGCCUCAUGCCAUCAGAUGUGCCCAGAUGGGAUUAGCUAGUAGGUGGGGUAACGGCUCACCUAGGCGACGAUCCCUAGCUGGUCUGAGAGGAUGACCAGCCACACUGGAACUGAGACACGGUCCAGACUCCUACGGGAGGCAGCAGUGGGGAAUAUUGCACAAUGGGCGCAAGCCUGAUGCAGCCAUGCCGCGUGUGUGAAGAAGGCCUUCGGGUUGUAAAGCACUUUCAGCGGGGAGGAAGGCGGUGAGGUUAA
rnacentral:rRNA from 1 species